rfam:Nicotiana attenuata strain TT chromosome 6, whole genome shotgun sequence.
UGGACAGAUUAUUGUAUUCGACUGUAUUCACGGCGUGAAACAGGAAAGUGAAUCAAUUAACAUAAUAGACUCCU